rnacentral:rRNA from 1 species
GACGAACGCUGGCGGCGUGCUUAACACAUGCAAGUCGAACGCUGAAGCUCAGCUUUUGUUGGGUGGAUGAGUGGCGAACGGGUGAGUAACACGUGAGUAACCUGCCUCCUUCUUUGGGAUAACGCCCGGAAACGGGUGCUAAUACUGGAUAUUCACUGGUCUUCGCAUGGGGGUUGGUGGAAAGGGUUUUUCUGGUGGGGGAUGGGCUCGCGGCCUAUCAGCUUGUUGGUGGGGUGAUGGCCUACCAAGGCUUUGACGGGUAGCCGGCCUGAGAGGGUGACCGGUCACAUUGGGACUGAGAUACGGCCCAGACUCCGACGGGAGGCAGCAGUGGGGAAUAUUGCACAAUGGGCGCAAGACUGAUGCAGCGACGCCGCGUGAGGGAUGGAGGCCUUCGGGUUGUGAACCUCUUUCGCUCAUGGUCAAGCCGCAACAAUGGUUGUGGUGAGGGUAGUGGGUAAAGAAGCGCCGGCUAACUACGUG